CAUGGUCAUAAACUAGAUUAAAAAUUCAAAAUAAAAGUAUCUUGUUGUUUAUUUAUUAGAAUGAUAUAUAUGAUUUAAAACAUUAUGCGUACAUGUUUAAAAUAAUGAAAUUGUAAGCUGUAAAUUUGUUAGUUUUUAAUUUUUUUUUUUUUUUAUCUUUUUUGGAUUUUCCCAAUUAUUUUAAAAACUACUUGCGAAAUCAAUAAACAAUGUUCUUCAUUAGCAUCUAGAUCCAAAAUGCAACGAAAAAGGUGUCUUCGUUAUUUUUCUAUUGCAGCAGUAUUUUCGGUAGAAAACAUAAUUUACAAAAAUUAAAAUUAAUAAAAUCAGUAAUGUCACGGUGCACAGUAAAUAUUUCCCAUAUAAUUUUC